GCGGGUAUAGUUUAGUGGUAAAG
rnacentral:tRNA from 1 species